AUUGAACGCUGGCGGCAGGCCUAACACAUGCAAGUCGAGCGGAUGAAGGGAGCUUGCUCCUGGAUUCAGCGGCGGACGGGUGAGUAAUGCCUAGGAAUCUGCCUGGUAGUGGGGGAUAACGUCCGGAAACGGGCGCUAAUAUCGCACACGUCCUGAGGGAGAAAGUGGGGGAUCUUCGGACCUCACGCUAUCAGAUGAGCCUAGGUCGGAUUAGCUAGUUGGUGGGGUAAAGGCCUACCAAGGCGACGAUCCGUAACUGGUCUGAGAGGAUGAUCAGUCACACUGGAACUGAGACACGGUCCAGACUCCUACGGGAGGCAGCAGUAGGGAAUAUUGGACAAUGGGCGAAAGCCUGAUCCAGCCAUGCCGCGUGUGUGAAGAAGGUCUUCGGAUUGUAAAGCACUGUAAGUUGGGAGGAAGGACAGUGAGUCAAUACCUUGCUGUCUUGACGUUACCAACAGAAAAAGCACCGGCUAACUUCGUG
rnacentral:rRNA from 1 species